AUUUAGUUGACGAGUCCCAAAUAGGACGAAACAUGCGUCCUAGUU
rnacentral:hammerhead_ribozyme from 1 species